CCUACGGGAGGCAGCAGUGAGGAAUAUUGGUCAAUGGGCGAGAGCCUGAACCAGCCAAGUCGCGUGAAGGAUGACGGCCCUACGGGUUGUAAACUUCUUUUGUCAGGGAGCAAUUGAGUCCACGUGUGGUCUUAGCGAGAGUACCUGAAGAAAAAGCAUCGUCUAACUCCGUGCCAGCAGCCGCGGUAAUACGGGGGAUGCGAGCGUUUUCCGGAUUUAUGGGGUUUAAAGGGUGCGUAGGCGGAAUAUCAAGUCAGCGGUAAAAAUUCGGGGCUCAACCCCGUCGUGCAGUUGAAACUGAUGUUCUUGAGUGGGCGAGAAGUAUGCGGAAUGCGUGGUGUAGCGGUGAAAUGCAUAGAUAUCACGCAGAACUCCGAUUGCGAAGGCAGCAUACCGGCGCCCAACUGACGCUGAAGCACGAAAGCGUGGGGAGCAAACAGGAUUAGAUACCCUUGUAGUC
rnacentral:rRNA from 1 species